rnacentral:rRNA from 1 species
CGAGCACGUAGGUGGGUUUGUAAGUCAGAUGUGAAAGCCUUCUGUUCAACGGGAGAAUUGCAUCUGAAACUGCUAAUCUUGAGUAUAGGAGGGGAGAAUGGAACUUCUGGUGGAGCGGUGAAAUGCGUAGAUAUCAGAAGGAACGCCGGCGGCGAAAGCGAUUCUCUGGCCUAUUACUGACACUCAGUGUGCGAAAGCUAGGGGAGCAAACGGGAUUAGAUACCCCGGUAGCCUGCAUU